rnacentral:rRNA from 1 species
CCUACGGGCGGCAGCAGUGAGGAAUAUUGGUCAAUGGACGAGAGUCUGAACCAGCCAAGUAGCGUGAAGGAUGACUGCCCUAUGGGUUGUAAACUUCUUUUAUAUGGGAAUAAAACGUUCCACGUGUGGGAUUUUGUAUGUAACAUAUGAAUAAGGAUCGGCUAACUCCGUGCCAGCAGCCGCGGUAAUACGGAGGAUCCGAGCGUUAUCCGGAUUUAUUGGGUUUAAAGGGAGCGUAGGUGGAUUGUUAAGUGAGUUGUGAAAGUUUGCGGCUCAACCGUAAAAUUGCAGUUGAAACUGGCAGUCUUGAGUACAGUAGAGGUGGGCGGAAUUCGUGGUGUAGCGGUGAAAUGCUUAGAUAUCACGAAGAACUCCGAUUGCGAAGGCAGUUCACUGGACUGCAACUGACACUGAGGCUCGAAAGUGUGGGUAUCAAACAGGAUUAGAUACCCUAGUAGUC